rnacentral:misc_RNA from 1 species
AACGCACCUUGCACUCUUUGGUAUUCCGAAGAGUAUGCUUGUUUGAGUGUCUUGAACUUCAUCAACCCUGGCGGUUUGGUUUUGCGACCUUGUGCUUGGGAUUGGAAUUGGGUGUUGCCGGUGGCAAACUGGCUCACCUUGAAUUUAUUAGCUGGGAUUCUUAGGUCUCUGGUUUGACUCGGUGUGAUAAGUAACCUUCACUGAGGACACCCUUUUCGGGGGGUGGCCAAAGCCCUUUGAUGACCGCUCUCCAAUGAUUAAUUUUCCACUUCUGACCUCAAAUCAAGUAGGACUACCCGCUGAACUUAA